CCUACGGGUGGCAGCAGUGGGGAAUAUUGGACAAUGGGGGCAACCCUGAUCCAGCCAUGCCGCGUGUGUGAAGAAGGCCCUCGGGUUGUAAAGCACUUUCAGUGAGGAAGAACGCCUGGUGGUUAAUACCCAUCAGGAAAGACAUCACUCACAGAAGAAGCACCGGCUAACUCCGUGCCAGCAGCCGCGGUAAUACGGAGGGUGCGAGCGUUAAUCGGAAUUACUGGGCGUAAAGCGCGCGUAGGUGGCUUGAUAAGCCGGUUGUGAAAGCCCCGGGCUCAACCUGGGAACGGCAUCCGGAACUGUCAAGCUAGAGUGCAGGAGAGGAAGGUAGAAUUCCCGGUGUAGCGGUGAAAUGUGUAGAGAUCGGGAGGAAUACCAGUGGCGAAGGCGGCCUUCUGGACUGACACUGACACUGAGGUGCGAAAGCGUGGGUAGCAAACAGGAUUAGAUACCCCUGUAGUC
rnacentral:rRNA from 1 species